UGGGGAAUUUUGCACAAUGGGGGAAACCCUGAUGCAGCGACGCCGCGUGAUUUAGAAGGCCUUCGGGUUGUAAAAAUCUUUUCUAUGGGAAGAAAAUGACAGUACCAUAGGAAUAAGGACCGGCUAAUUACGUGCCAGCAGCCGCGGUAAUACGUAAGGUCCGAGCGUUGUCCGGAAUCAUUGGGCGUAAAGGGUACGUAGGCGGGUAAGCAAGUUAGAAGUGAAAUCCUGUAGCUCAACUACAGUAAGCUUUUAAAACUGCUCAUCUUGAGAUAUGGAAGGGAAAGUGGAAUUCCUAGUGUAGCGGUGAAAUGCGCAGAUAUUAGGAGGAAUACCGGUGGCGAAGGCGACUUUCUGGCCAUAAUCUGACGCUGAGGUACGAAAGCGUGGGGAGCAAACAGG
rnacentral:rRNA from 1 species